rnacentral:rRNA from 1 species
UCCUACGGGAGGCAGCAGUGAGGAAUAUUGGUCAAUGGGCGAGAGCCUGAACCAGCCAAGUCGCGUGAGGGAAGACGGUCCUAUGGAUUGUAAACCUCUUUUGUCGGGGAGCAAAAAGGCCUCGUGAGGCCACAAGUGAGAGUACCCGAAGAAAAAGCAUCGGCUAACUCCGUGCCAGCAGCCGCGGUAAUACGUAGGGAGCGAGCGUUAUCCGGAAUUAUCGGGUGUAAAGGGUGCGUAGACGGGAACUUAAGUUAGUUGUGAAAUCCCUUAGCUCAACUAAGGAAUGGCAACUGAAACUGGGU